CGAGCUUGAACAAUGCUGUAAAAUCGGUUAACGAAACAUGUUAAAAGGCUAAACCGAGCAUUUCAAAAGACUAUGCACAAUAUCGAUUUAAUGACCUAAAUACUGGUUUUCAGAAAACAUAUACUAUCAUACAGUUAUGUAAACUAAAUUAUAACCGGAUAAUAAAACACGUAAUCUAUCAGGAAGUCACGACUGAUGAAGAUUGUACAGCAGAAUAAAAAUGAUUGAUCAUUUGGGAUUAUCUCUUGUCCUUGAAAUAUAUUUAAACAAGUGCAGAGAUAUUUUUGCCAGAGCUUUUGUUCUUUUGCAUGAAUGUUCAAAAAGACGAAAUAUAUAUAAAUGAAAAAAGAAAAAUUUGAGAUAUUCAGCGAAAAUUCUAUGUAAAUCAGAACUACGGAGUAUGUGCUCAUGAUCAAGGAUGGAUGUACGUCCUUGAUAAAAGAAAGAUGCUGUCCAUAUGAAUGCAUUUGCUCGAUUCCUAUGUUCCUUUAUACAAAGCACUUCACAGAUAGAAACUGGACAUGUAGAAAGUACAAAGGGAGUCAUCUCCACAUUGAUACAUUGUUUGCGAAGACAUGGCACAGCCAGCGGAUAUGAUGGUUAUUUCAGUACGUGCAGACUUAUCAAGAACUGAUUAAUAAGGACAACGUUUUGUUUUAAAAGAGUAUGGCAACUGACCUGACAUCACACGAUAUAUGGAACAUUAUGCUUUUCUUAAAUUUGAUAUCAAUAAUUCAAUUAGUUUUUAUUGUAAACAUAUUUGUAUAGACCGGUUAAAGUACCGGAUCUGGCUCCUUUUAAGAUAAAUCUGAUUUUACCUGAAUUAUGAUAGUGUUAACAAUUUUCCAAUUAAAAACUUGCUACACACUAUGUGUGUUUAGUUUCAAUGUAUUUAAAUGUAACUUAUGUGAUCAAGCCCAUGUAACUUCAUUUUGUCUGGUUCGAAAGAAUAAAAAAAGCAUGAAAUACGAAUGGAUGAUACAAAAACUUACCCAAGGAAAAACAACAAAUAGUUGGCAAGAGAACAGAAAAAAAAGGAAAUAAAUGAUAGCUCACAAAAAAAUAUACAGAAAAUAUAAAAAAGGGUUAUAGGUUUCAUAAUGGGUAAAAAUGUAAAAUGAACUGAAUAUCAGGUUGUCUGCAUAUUGAUAUUAUAAAAGAUCAGCUGCGAGAUACAAUUUGAUCCUUUAUGUCGAGUGAGCAGCAAAUUUUUACAAUAUCAAUAUGAAGUCAACCAGAUAACCGAAUUAUCGGUUUGUAUUUGUAGAUUUUGCAUGAUAAAAUAAGUGUUUUCUUUGUUUCAUCUGCAAACCGGAAGGUAACUUGAUUAGUUCUGGGCAAACUUACUACUUCUGUGCAUUCCUUAUAGCGUCGGUGAUAUGUUCGGGUCAAAUUAAUCAGGCCGGGUCAACGUACUUCACGCCACAAAGCCGUGAUAGCAAUUUUGUUCAUAGCUGCGUAGAGUGAUGCGGACAUUGGACGAUCGAUCAAGCUUUCUAUCAGCCAGAGUUAUUACAUUUCAUUUCAAUAAUACACGAGCCUUUAGAAGGUUUAUUGUUGUUAUUUAAAGUAAAUAAAGAAAUGUUAUUUA